rnacentral:sRNA from 1 species
AGUCGGGCAAGAUGUCGGCCUGCAAUCUCCAGGCCGCCUGAUCGAAAACUGGUUCCGUCCUUGACCACGGAUGUACUGGCACUGACGUCACCGAGUAAUUUGAGGCCGGGCAAAUAGCCUGGCCUUUUU